UGCGGCAGCGAUGUCGCAGCCGUCGCAAGACGGCUCCGCACAGGUGCUGCAUGGCUGUCGUCAGCUCGUGUCGUGAGAUGUUGGGUUAAGUCCCGCAACGAGCGCAACCCUUAUCCCCAGUUGCCAUCAGGUAAAGCUGGGAACUCUGGGGAGACUGCCGGUGAUAAACCGGAGGAAGGCGGGGAUGACGUCAAGUCCUCAUGGCCCUUACAUCCCGGGCUACACACGUGCUACAAUGGCAGGUACAGAGGGCUGCGAAGCCGCGAGGUGGAGCGAAUCCCAGAAAACCUGUCUCAGUCCGGAUUGAAGUCUGCAACUCGACUUCAUGAAGGCGGAAUCGCUAGUAACCGCGAAUCAGCAGGUCGCGGUGAAUACGUUCCCGGGCCUU
rnacentral:rRNA from 1 species